AGAUCAGGUCGAGAUCCCUUCCACCACCGGCCUCCCUUCCACCCUCCUCUCCUCUCAUCUGCCGUCCACCCGUGUGGUGGUCGUUGUUCUCCGAUCGCUAUCGUCCCUCUCCCUCUCACUCUCUCCGGCCAAACCCAAUCCACCCGCCACCGGUGAGCCCUAGCACACAGAGGGGUAAGAUCCAACAGCCAAGUCAGCACGCCAUGGCGCCGUCCCCGAGCACUUGCGCCCCCGACGGCGGCCUGGAUCCCAUGGACGUGUGCGUCGUCGGCGUCGCCAGCAUGCCCAUCAACGCCUUGCUUGGCUGCCUCUCGUCCCUCCCCGCCACCAAGCUCGGCUCCGUCGCCAUCCAGGUACAGCUGAUUCGAAAGCAACAUCCCAAACUACUGAUGGAGUGAUAUAUAUGAUACCGAAUCAGGAAUCCAGGAUCGAUUCUUCAGCUAAUCAACUCCUCCACGGAUAGAUCAGCCUCCAGAUUUGUUCCAUGUCUUGCCAUCCUUCUUGAUUUCUCAUAUUCCCUGUCAAACUAUCCGGAGGAUGUACAGUUCAGGGGAAUGGAGAUGUUUACGAACGUGUCCGAGUAGUGGAAACUUGCCAGGGAGAAGCUCCUGAAGAUGGUGUAUGACUACUACGCCUCCGGCGCAGAGGAUCAGUGGACGCUCAAGGGGAACAGGGAGGCCUUCUCCAGGAUACUGAAAGUUACUAUCUUCCAACGCAGCAGGAUAUGGUUGACUAUUUGAACGGAUCCAGGUUUCUUCCCAAACAUAACAAUGACAUACCUGGUGAAAGAAAUGCUGCCUACGGGGAAAGGUUGAGAAGCCUAGAGAAUUUAAUACGUACUGAUCAUGGGUGAUCGAUGCGGACUACUACGGCCUGAUGGGCGUCGUGCUCUUCAACUACUCGGGGCCGGGUAGACUUCACCGUGAAGCCCCGUGACCACGUCAUACAGAUGAUUGUCCGGGUGAUUGCGAUGCCGGAGGUCCCCGAGGUGGAGGACCUCGACGACACCGUUCAGAGGUCAUCGAGGUGGAGGACGACGCCACCGUCCGGAGUUCCUCAAGGUGGAGGACCUCGAUGCUUUGUAGAUACAUCUAGAGAAGUAGCCUGGCUAGGUUGGUGGUGAAACGUACCAACCUUUUGAUGAUGGUUGUGUGCGUCCACGUGAUCUCUUCGAGUUGAUGUUCAACGUUGCAUCCAUGAACACUGCAAGAGUUAAGAUGGUUGUGUGACCUUAAUUUAUUUUGCACUGGAUGUUCUCUGAUCUCUAUUCAUGAAUAUUUCAUCUAAUUUUUAUUUUUUAAUUCC